rnacentral:rRNA from 1 species
UACGUAGGUGGCAAGCGUUGUUCGGAAUUACUGGGCGUAAAGGGCGCGUAGGUGGCCUUCUAAGUUGAACGUGAAAUCCCUGGGCUCAACCCAGGAACUGCGUCCAAGACUGGGAGGCUUGAAUCCGGGAGAGGGAUGCGGAAUUCCAGGUGUAGCGGUGAAAUGCGCAGAUAUCAGGAGGAACACCGUGGCGAAGGCGGUGCUCUGGGCCGGAACUGACGCUGAGGAGCGAAAGCGUGGGGAGCAAACAGG